UCACCCUCGCGCCGACACAGUCGCUGUAAUGAAAGCUUGGCAAGUUCUGGAGAGAAAGGAUGCGAUACCAGUGAUUAAUGUCAAAGCCCUGUUGUCGGGGGAGAGUGUGAUGUUUGAUUUUCUUGUACAGCUGCAGUUUGUGUGGUGAAGGUGUUCCCACAAUGUGGUUGGAUCCCAGUGAUUAAUGCCAAAGCCCCAUUGCCUGGGGAGAGGGUGAUGUUUGACUUCCUUGUAUAGCUGCAGUUUGUGUGGUGAAGGUGCUCCCACAAUGUGGUUGGGUGGACAUUCAGAUGGUAUCCUCAGUAACUGUAACACCAAACUCUGACAGAAUUACUCAAUUCAUCAGGACCUGGAUAUUUGCAUUUAGUUCUGAGAUGUUUACUAUAGGAAUAUGACAGGCUCCAUUGGACAUCAGGUCAGAAAAGGUGAUACUAGAAUAGAUGACACCUGGUUGGUCGAUAUUUUUGGGAGGGUACUGAAAGGGUGGAUUUGUGGAUGAAAAAUUCAAAUUGAGCUUCAUGUUCAGACCCGAUGGUUACUGGAUCCGUGCCGAUCUGAAUAUCAUUGGCCUUUUCAUCUGGAAGGAAAGGGUGCUAAAUGGUGAAGAUUUGCUGGCUGAAAUCUCAAAAUCAUGUGCAGAUCGUGAUUAGGUUAACCAGCAUUUGAAGAACCAAAGAUAGAGAAUCACUUGGCCAAAAUCCUGCACACACUCCCUUCACAGCGUUGUCAGUCUCUCUGCGCCAAAUGGACUGUGAAUGGUACAAGACAGCAGCUCACUACCAUCUUCUCAAGGGUAACUAGAGAUGGGGAAUAAAUGCUGGCUGAGCCAGUGAUGCCCAUAUCCUGGAAAUGGUUUCUAUCUCUAGUUGCUGAAACCCAGUUGAUGUUACUGCAGGAUGAUGAGGGAUGCUGAGUGCAUCCUCCAGGAGGUAUCCCCCGCCUACACCCACGCAGUAACACCGCAACGUCACUGGAACAAAAGGCAGUGAAACCAAAGGAAGACUUAGAUAUAGUUCUUUGAGAUAAAGUCAUGAAAGGGGAUUGGAACACAGCAGGAACAGGAGACUGAGCUGGAUGGUCAGCUGUUUCCCAUUGAAUGGUGGGGCAGGAUUGAAAGGCUGAAUGGCCUCCUGCUACUAUCUCUCAGGUAUGUAUAUAGCCAUGGAGCCCGGGUAGGAAGAAAUAGGCAGGGAUUCUCCAGGAGAUUGCACUUCCACAUCAGUUUUCAGUGAGGGAUGGUUUGAUAGAUUUUAUUUAACAUUUACAGACCUUGUGUUAAGGAUUAAUUUUUGUU